rnacentral:rRNA from 1 species
GCUCUACACACCCGGGUAGUGGGAUAGAUGCCNGGUACACAGGGGGAGGGGGUGGCACGGGUGGGAGGUGCCGAAAGGCCCAAGAUUUAUAGCCUGAAGAUGAGCUCGCGUCUGAUUAGCUAGUAGGUGUGGUAAGAGCGCACCUAGGCGACGAUCAGUAGCUGGUCUGAGAGGAUGAUCAGCCACACUGGGACUGAGACACGGCCCAGACUCCUACGGGAGGCAGCAGUGGGGAAUUUUCCGCAAUGGGCGAAAGCCUGACGGAGCAAUACCGCGUGAGGGAGGAAGGCUCUUGGGUUGUAAACCUCUUUUCUCAGGGAAGAAAAAAAUGACGGUACCUGAGGAAUAAGCAUCGGCUAACUCCGUGCCAGCAGCCGCGGUAAUACGGAGGAUGCAAGCGUUAUCCGGAAUGAUUGGGCGUAAAGCGUCCGCAGGUGGCUAUGUAAGUCUGCUGUUAAAGAGUGAGGCUCAACCUCAUAAGAGCAGUGGAAACUACAUAGCUAGAGUGCGUUCGGGGCAGAGGGAAUUCCUGGUGUAGCGGUGAAAUGCGUAGAGAUCAGGAAGAACACCGGUGGCGAAAGCGCUCUGCUAGGCCGCAACUGACACUGAGGGACGAAAGCUAGGGGAGCGAAUGGGAUUAGAUACCCCCNUAAUUCAAUCGGAAUUUUUUUAAAAGGGGAAAAAGGGCUUGACCCCCCGGGG